AGCAGCCGCGGUAAUUCCAGCUCCAAUAGCGUAUAUUAAAGUUGUUGCAGUUAAAAAGCUCGUAGUUGAAUUUCGGGGUUAGUAGGUUGGUCAUGCCUCUGGUAUGUACUGGUCUCACUGAUUCCUCCCUCCUUAUGAACCGUAAUGCCAUUAAUUUGGUGUUGCGGGGAAUUUGGACUGUUACUUUGAAAAAUUAGAGUGUUUAAAGCAAGCUAACGCUUGAAUACAUUAGCAUGGAAUAAUGAAAUAGGACGUUCGAUCUUAUUUUGUUGGUUUCUAGGAUUGACGUAAUGAUUAAUAGGGAUAGUUGGGGGCAUUAGUAUUCAAUUGUCAGAGGUGAAAUUCUUGGAUUUAUUGAAGACUAACUACUGCGAAAGCAUUUGCCAAGGAUGUUUUCAUUAAUCAAGAACGAAAGUUAGGGGAUCGAAGACGAUCAGAUACCGUCGUAGUCUUAACCAUAAACUAUGCCGACUAGGGAUCGGAUGAUGUAAUUUUUAAUG
rnacentral:rRNA from 1 species